rnacentral:ncRNA from 1 species
UCAGUUAAGGUUUCUUUGAUGGUACCCUGAUACUCGGAUAACUGUAGUAAUUCUGGAGCUAAUAUGUGCACCAAGUCUUGACUCUUUGGAAGGGAUGCAUUUAUUAGAUAAAAUAUUGGCGUGAUAUUGCCAUCUUAUCCAAUGAAUCAUGAUAAAUCGAUGGAUCGCAUAGCCCUUGUGGUGCAGACCACCUACCUCUGC